GUGAGCUCCUUUGCAUUUGCACGCUUGGAAUAUUAAAAUUUAUCUUACCAAAUAUUAGGAGUUAAAAUCAUUGUUAAAAACAACGUUCUUUCAUUUCUGUGGCAAGAUUUUGUGGAAAAAUUUUCAUCUUUCUUUCAGCUAUAAUUUGUUACUUUCCAUAGGAUUUGAUCUAUUUUUCAGUUAUUAUUUGUAUUAUUUUCCAGGUCUCAUGAGGACAUGUCUAUAA
rnacentral:misc_RNA from 1 species